rnacentral:rRNA from 1 species
GGGAAUAUUGCACAAUGGGCGCAAGCCUGAUGCAGCCAUGCCGCGUGUGUGAAGAAGGCCUUCGGGUUGUAAAGCACUUUCAGCGGGGAGGAAGGCAAUACGGUUAAUAACCGUGUUGAUUGACGUUACCCGCAGAAGAAGCACCGUCUAACUCCGUGCCAGCAGACGCGGUAAUACGGAGGGUGCAAGCGUUAAUCUGAAUUACUGGGCGUAAAGCGCACGCAGGCGGUAUGUCAAGUCGGAUGUGAAAUCCCCGGGCUCAACCUGGGAACUGCAUUCGAAACUGGCAGGCUUGAGUCUUGUAGAGGGAGGUAGAAUUCCAGGUGUAGCGGUGAAAUGCGUAGAGAUCUGGAGGAAUACCGGUGGCGAAGGCGGCCCCCUGGACAAAGACUGACGCUCAGGUGCGAAAGCGUGGGGAGCAAACA